ACAAUCUAAAAUGGAUGAUGCGGCUUUUAUAUUAUCACGAUUGACGAAAAGAAACGGUCGCUUCGUAAUCUUUCGGACGUCGGCAAUUUUCGGAAGCUUUCUAACUAGAAUUCAGCCUAGGUUACACUUUUGCUUCUAGUACUUCAAUCACCCUAAUUCGCCUACCAUAGCCUUUUUCGUCCAACAUAGCCGGCCACCUAAAUUUGAAAGCUCAAAUUUACCUAAACAGAACGCCAUAAUGGAAGAUGAUUUGCAAAGCAUCAGUUCCAUCAAAUUAAUGCAAUUUUCGACGGAAGUGUGCGACCCGCUGUAGAAAUUCGAUGAUACUGUCCCGAUUGCGUACGAGACCCUUGUACUUCCUCAACGUCGACAUGUUGAUUACUCCGACCAGAUGUAGAGAAAGCAAGUUACACCAGUGAGCAACUGUAAAAAAUACGCCCAGCGAAGCACCUUCCAGACAAGAAUGUAAUUUGAUGGACAGGAACUCACCUGGUGAGCCUGUCAAACAGGCCUUGUAUCAAAUCGUUACUCCGACCAGAUGUAGCAACUGUAAAAAAUAUGCCCAGCGAAGCACCUUCCAGAUAAGAAUGUAAUUUGAUGGACAGGAACUCACCUGGUGAGCCUGUCAAAUCAGGCCUUGUAUUAAAUCGUGGUCUCUGGAGUGCGCAGCGACAGUGUAAGGCGUAUGCGUAUAGAAUCUUCCUCAAAGAACCCUCAUCAACGGUUCAGAGUCAACCAGAUGUAAUAAAGCGAUGAUGGAUGACGUCACACAGUCGUGUCCAAGCGUGAA